CUCAGUUUCACUAUUAUUUAUUCCGCUAAUAUAUUAUCGCAGCGCGAAGCUCCAAACGUCCUGCGACUCCCCUACCUUUUUCUCGCAUCUUAAUUCUCUCGAAAGGGAGAUCGAUCGAGCGUCGGAGGAAGGAGAGGCUUCCUCUCCCUCCCCCCGAAGAUCGUGAAGCCCUAACCGUUCUCUNUUUGUAUAUAAUUUAACGAAAUAUUAACGAAAAAGCUUCCGAAAAGAUAAAAAUAAAACCACAGGGGGCAAAUUGAUACGUUUUAAACUACAGGGUAGUAAAGUGAGAAUGCAUGAAACCACAGGGUGGGUUUUUGAAGUUUUCCCGGAACUUGGUUUCCAAAUUUCUAUAGAUACUUGAGAUUUAUUACUGGCGGAAAAAUAACUUCGGUGCUAGGCAAGCGUUCUUCAACCAAUGUAUGUACAAAAAAGUGAAUUAGAUUACACCAUUUGACAAAAGAUUAUGGUCCUAUUGUUAUAUUGCACUAAUUUUAUAUAAUUUAUAAUUUUUUUUUAAAAAAUACUAAAUUUGUUUUAAAAGAAUAAAAAAUUGAGAACAAUUUCGAGGACUACGAGCGCAAUUAAGCAAAGCCAAUUUUACUUCUAUCCAGUUGAGAAAAAAUUCUAGAAUGCAACGGGUAUAGCGUUAGCAUUACUGAUUACUCCCUCGAACACGAAGUACCUUUGGAUCUACGUCUUGGUUUAACCUCAGUUUCACUAUUAUUUACUCCGCUAAUAUAUUAUCACAGCGCGAAGCUCCCAAACGUCCUGCGACUCCCCUACCUUUUUCUCGCAACUUAAUUCUCUCGAAAGGGAGAUCGAUCGAGCGUCGGAGGAAGGAGAGGCUUCCUCUCCCUCCCCCCGAAGAUCGUGAAGCCCUAACCGUUCUCUUCGAUCGCUUCCAUGGAGGAGACGGAUCCCAG
rnacentral:lncRNA from 1 species